GGGUAGUACAGAGGGUUGCCAAGCCGUAAGGUGGAGCUAAUCCCUUAAAGCUACUCUCAGUUCGGAUUGUAGGCUGAAACUCGCCUACAUGAAGCUGGAGUUACUAGUAAUCGCAGAUCAGAAUGCUUCGGUGAAUGCGUUCCCGGGUCUUGUACACACCGCCCGUCACACCACGGGAGUUGGAGACGCCCGAAGCCGAUUAUCUAACCUUUUGGAAGAAGUCGUCGAAGGUGGAAUCAAUAACUGGGGUGAAGUCGUAACAAGGUAGCCGUAUCGGAAGGUGCGGCUGGAUCACCUCCUUUCUAAGGAGA
rnacentral:rRNA from 1 species